rnacentral:rRNA from 1 species
GAUGAACGCUGGCGGCGUGCCUAAUACAUGCAAGUCGAGCGAACAGAUAAGGAGCUUGCUCCUUUGACGUUAGCGGCGGACGGGUGAGUAACACGUGGGUAACCUACCUAUAAGACUGGGAUAACUUCGGGAAACCGGAGCUAAUACCGGAUAAUAUUUCGAACCGCAUGGUUCGAUAGUGAAAGAUGGUUUUGCUAUCACUUAUAGAUGGACCCGCGCCGUAUUAGCUAGUUGGUAAGGUAACGGCUUACCAAGGCGACGAUACGUAGCCGACCUGAGAGGGUGAUCGGCCACACUGGAACUGAGACACGGUCCAGACUCCUACGGGAGGCAGCAGUAGGGAAUCUUCCGCAAUGGGCGAAAGCCUGACGGAGCAACGCCGCGUGAGUGAUGAAGGUCUUCGGAUCGUAAAACUCUGUUAUUAGGGAAGAACAUACGUGUAAGUAACUGUGCACGUCUUGACGGUACCUAAUCAGAAAGCCACGGCUAACUACGUGCCAGCAGCCGCGGUAAUACGUAGGUGGCAAGCGUUAUCCGGAAUUAUUGGGCGUAAAGCGCGCGUAGGCGGUUUUUUAAGUCUGAUGUGAAAGCCCACGGCUCAACCGUGGAGGGUCAUUGGAAACUGGAAAACUUGAGUGCAGAAGAGGAAAGUGGAAUUCCAUGUGUAGCGGUGAAAUGCGCAGAGAUAUGGAGGAACACCAGUGGCGAAGGCGACUUUCUGGUCUGUAACUGACGCUGAUGUGCGAAAGCGUGGGGAUCAAACAGGAUUAGAUACCCUGGUAGUCCACGCCGUAAACGAUGAGUGCUAAGUGUUAGGGGGUUUCCGCCCCUUAGUGCUGCAGCUAACGCAUUAAGCACUCCGCCUGGGGAGUACGACCGCAAGGUUGAAACUCAAAGGAAUUGACGGGGACCCGCACAAGCGGUGGAGCAUGUGGUUUAAUUCGAAGCAACGCGAAGAACCUUACCAAAUCUUGACAUCCUUUGACAACUCUAGAGAUAGAGCUUUCCCCUUCGGGGGACAAAGUGACAGGUGGUGCAUGGUUGUCGUCAGCUCGUGUCGUGAGAUGUUGGGUUGAGUCCCGCAACGAGCGCAACCCUUAAGCUUAGUUGCCAUCAUUAAGUUGGGCACUCUAAGUUGACUGCCGGUGACAAACCGGAGGAAGGUGGGGAUGACGUCAAAUCAUCAUGCCCCUUAUGAUUUGGGCUACACACGUGCUACAAUGGACAAUACAAAGGGCAGCGAAACCGCGAGGUCAAGCAAAUCCCAUAAAGUUGUUCUCAGUUCGGAUUGUAGUCUGCAACUCGACUACAUGAAGCUGGAAUCGCUAGUAAUCGUAGAUCAGCAUGCUACGGUGAAUACGUUCCCGGGUCU